ACGAACGCUGGCGGCGUGCUUAACACAUGCAAGUCGCACGGAAAGGCCCUGCUUGCCGGGUACUCGAGUGGCGAACGGGUGAGUAACACGUGGGUGAUCUGCCCUGCACUUCGGGAUAAGCCUGGGAAACUGGGUCUAAUACCGGAUAGGAGCCAUUUUUAGUGUGAUGGUUGGAAAGUUUUUUCGGUGUAGGAUGAGCUCGCGGCCUAUCAGCUUGUUGGUGGGGUAAUGGCCUACCAAGGCGGCGACGGGUAGCCGGCCUGAGAGGGUGGACGGCCACAUUGGGACUGAGAUACGGCCCAGACUCCUACGGGAGGCAGCAGUGGGGAAUAUUGCACAAUGGGCGCAAGCCUGAUGCAGCGACGCCGCGUGGGGGAUGACGGCCUUCGGGUUGUAAACUCCUUUCGCUAGGGACGAAGCUUUUUGUGACGGUACCUAGAUAAGAAGCACCGGCUAACUACGUG
rnacentral:rRNA from 1 species